rnacentral:rRNA from 1 species
AUCGAAAGCUUGCUUUUGAUGGGCGUCGACCGGCGCACGGGUGAGUAACGCGUAUCCAACCUGCCCACCACUUGGGGAGUAACCUUGCGAAAGUAAGACUAAUACUCAAUGAUAUCUCUAGAAGACAUCUGAAAGAGAUUAAAGAUUUAUCGGUGAUGGAUGGGGAUGCGUCUGAUUAGCUUGUUGGCGGGGUAACGGCCCACCAAGGCAACGAUCAGUAGGGGUUCUGAGAGGGUGAACGGCCACAUUGGGACUGAGACACGGCCCAAACUCC